CUUGUUUUGUUCAGUGUUUGUGGAAAAACACGUGCGAGAAAAAAGGACGAAGUGUCUUUGCCUUUGCCUCAUACCUAGUGUCUGGUGCGUAGAAACAUAACUUGUGUUGUCUUUCUACCUAUAUCAUUCUGUUCGACAAUAACUGGCAUUUUGCAGACAACCCGAGUAUGAGGACCGAAUUUUGCGACAUUUGAUCUUAGCUUGUUAGCCUGUACCUAGUGUCUCUUGCCAUUCAACUAUACAAUUGUGCAUACAGUGAUGUUCCCAAUCAACUAUUUUAUAACACCCCGUAAUUUUUAAUAUCUGCGUCCGCCAUGAUCACCAUGCUUGGUUUGUUAGACCGCCUUUCCUGGUUUUAAGGGAAUUAUGAGAUUACAAAAUAUGAAGAGGUUUUAUAAAGAAUUUGAGAAACCAGGAAAUCACUUUGAUUUCUCCCACUAUGCAGUUGCCAGAUCAAAUUUUCUAUUUUUACCGUUGUCGCAUUCAGUUAAAAAUCAGUUUGUCUGUAAAAAAAACAUAUUGUGUCAAAUAUAAUAAUCUGUAUAAUAGUUGAUAAAACGAUAAAGAACAAGACCAUCAAUUUUUAUUAAAUGUAUCAGUAAUAUAAUAAGGUUCACCUUGACGUAAAUCUUAUUUGAGGCAUACAGAUGUGGAAGGAUAAAGACAUGGUAGCAGUUUAUUUUACACGCGAGGAUUGACAUAGCGUUGCUUUGAACAGAGCAAUUUAUAGGGAGGGUAUAUUAAGUGUGUAGCCUCAUUUGUGCCAUCCAACUGAGCCAAAAACUAUCGCGUAUGAUAAUGUCUGUCCGUUUUUGAGUUAGAACCGCUUUAUAAGCACCAGUCUUGACACGUGUGUAUGUUAUUUAUGCAGUAGCAUUUUUUGGCUAUGAGUUUUGUUAGUUUCAAGAUCUCACACCCCAUCCGGUGAGCUACGCAACGCAACCAGACGUGUCAAGCAGGAAACAAACACACACAAGAAUAGGGCAUGAAUAAGUUAAUUAGCCAUAGGUAUCAUGUAUAAAUCAGUGCACUUUUUAGCACGACAGCGUUACAAAAUCAAAUAAAUAAACCAAUUUAUAUAAUCCACAAUUGAAAUGCAAUUGACUUGAAACACAGAAGUUACUAAAAAAAACCGUGUGUUGUCUGGACUCGAGUUUGAGGCAGCAAGCGCAAAUUGUAAAAGUUUCUGUAUACGUGUACACACAUGCAUUCAAUCGUGUCUCAUCACCGUUUGUUAGGUAAUUCGCCAACGAAUGGUCGGUCAUGCAAUGCCCCCCAAAAAAAAGAUGACAACUAACGAUCUUAUGCAUUACUGGUCGUUAGGAAUUAGGAAUUAAUUUAUUAUGAGAUCAAGAACUGUAUAGGCAACAAGGGUCUUUUGUUAAUUGUGUGGUUUUACUCAACUGGAAAACUUAAACACCUAAUUAUUGUAAUGGAGUCUAUAUCAAAGGGAAUUGCUGCUCGGUUUCUAGAAGACCAGCUUCAAAAACAAUGCAGCUACUUAAUUGUAAGGUUAUUAGUUGUAAGUUAAUGCUAAGAAGGCAAUUUUUUAAAUAAAAUUUUAAUUUGUUGUAGUAAACUAUUAGUAUUAUUUCCACUAGCGAAAGAGCAAACCACUUUGCACUAGCAUGAUCGAGUAAAAUGUGCUGGCGAGAUCCCUUUUGGAUCAGAUAAAUCGCCAGCAUCUUUGUUCUAGCACAAUCGCUAAGUAAGUGUGCUAACGAAAUCGACAACCCUCUUGCACUAGGUUUUUUGUUAGGUCAAUGUCAUACAAGCUCGUACCGCUCGUUACGCGGCAGUGACAUCCCCAUGUUAAAUUCGUUAGGCUAACGAAUUUAUGUUUGCAUGGUUUGAUACCAGUACUCUUCACAAAGAGUCAGCUAAAUCGUUGGCGGUGCACCGUUGGACCCGAACUACAGGGUAUCAACUGGAUUGCAAUUGUAAACGAUUGUUCUCUGCGAUAAUAUUUUAAUCCGUUUGUUUCCCAUUAAGACUCAAUUAUUGGUGUGGCUGUUGCGUAGAGGUGGCCACAAUUAGUUUGGCCUGUUGCAAAUUCGACCUUUUUUUGUUUUAUAUAUUAUUUAAUCGGGGGCUCCCGACUAUAACCUCUUACUUAUUUGAAUUUAGACUAUUCCAACAGACAUUAGCCUUACGGUUUUUAAGAUAUGUGAAAAUUGUGAAGCUCAUAAAUUAUAAGCUUGAUGAAAAUAUUUUGCGAUACAAAAACACAUGGCUCACAUAUAUGAACUUGGACAGCAUAUCUUGUUGAAAAAAAAACAUACAAGAAGUUAAUUUUUUGCUGAUCGAUUUUAUAUUGCCUAUUCGAUAUCGUGGUCCGAUUUUGAUAAGAAUUUGCAUGUAUGUAAGAACUGCAUUUUCGAGCAAUCGUUCCCAUGGGAGCUAUUUUUUUUUAUAAGAUUUCGCAUAUAUGUGCGAAUAGUAAAAUAAUAAAUGCGGAGUUUGUUCGUUU